rnacentral:rRNA from 1 species
CUUUCGAGCCUAGCUUUUAUAACAUCUUAACACCUGUGAACUAUUUGCCUUUGGGCAUAUUUAAACAUAAUGUAAUGAAUGUAAUCUACUAUAAAUAAAUACAACUUUCAGCAACGGAUCUCUUGGCUCUCGCAUCGAUGAAGAACGCAGCGAAAUGCGAUAAGUAAUGUGAAUUGCAGAAUUCAGUGAAUCAUCGAAUCUUUGAACGCAUCUUGCGCUCCUUGGUAUUCCAAGGAGCAUGCCUGUUUGAGUGUCAUCAAGUUCUCAACCACAUAUUUUUUUGUGGCUUGGAUUGUGGGGUGUUGCCGGCUUUUAUACAAGUAGGCUCUCCUUAAAUGCAUAAGUGGUAUUUAGAAAAGCUACGUGUUGGGUGUUAUAAAUUGAUAAUACACCUUUUUGGCGAUUCUACUAUGCUGCUUCCAACCCUGUUUUUGUUUGACAAUUUUGACCUCAAAUCAGGUAGGACUACCCGCUGAACUUAAGCAUAUCAAUAAGCGGAGG